CAAGAAGUAGUUUAAAUAGAAUAUCAGCUUUGGGUGCUGAUGGUGGAGGGAGAAUCCUUCCUUCUUGA
rnacentral:tRNA from 1 species